rnacentral:sRNA from 1 species
UUGCGGGAGCUCCUCCUCGCCGCGGGCGCA